CUUUUCUUUGUUUUUUGGUGUGUAUAUAUAUUCCCUUAUCCCUUCAUCGUCCAUCUAUCCUUCUUCAUCAACAUAAAAAGCUGCAAACUUUGGCUCUCUUUUCUCUCUUUUUGCCCUAAUUUUUGUUUGGUUUACUGUUGUCGUGCGCUUAUAUCAGUUCAAGCUGCCAGCAUGAUCUAACCUUAAUCUCUGCUAAUUAUGUUCGAGAUUCAAGAUCAGAUCAUAUGGCAGCUUCACCUGUUCUUGGCUGCACGAAGAACUUAGCCCUAAAUACAAAACCCUAAUCACUUUCUUAACAAUUUCUUCAUUCUCACCCGUUUUCCAUGCACAAUUCCUAAAAAAGGCAUUUCUUGGGGUCAAUUGCGAGCUUGAUCUUUGGUAUGUGUGUCCAGUGGCCGAGUAGCAAAGUUAAAAAGAUAAGGCAAUUGUCUUUUUGUUCCUCUUGAAUCUUAAAAGUUCUUCACUCUUCGCUCUUCUUUGUGUUUGUGUGUUUUUAGAUUAUGAUACUCGAAACUCGUGUGUCGUGUCGUGUUGUUUAACGUCGAGACAUUAUAAUCUCGAUUAAGAGGUUUGAAUCUUUGCUCCUUAUACGUUAAGCGAUGAAAGAUUUCUAAGAUUUCUAAUUUUCUUGUCGUGAUUGUGUUUUAUAGAUUUAGGAAACCUGGUUCAUCUAAAAGUGAUUGUUUAAGGAUACAAUGUUAUAAUUUCGAUCAAGGGAUUCAAGUUUCUGUUGUACAUGUUUGUCUUAAUUAUAUAAAGUUACAAACUUUUGUUUAUGA